rnacentral:rRNA from 1 species
UACAGAGGUCUCAAGCGUUUGUUCGGAUUCAUUGGGCGUAAAGGGUGCGUAGGCGGCGCGGUAAGUCGGGUGUGAAAUCUUGGAGCUUAACUCCGAAACUGCAUUCGAUACUGCCGUGCUUUGAGGACUGGAGAGGAGACUGGAAUUUACGGUGUAGCGGUGAAAUGCGUAGAUAUCGUAAGGAAGACCAGUGGCGAAGGCGGGUCUCUGGACAGUUCCUGACGUGAGG